UUGAACGCUGGCGGCAUGCCUUACACAUGCAAGUCGAACGGCAGCACGGGAGCAAUCCUGGUGGCGAGUGGCGAACGGGUGAGUAAUAUAUCGGAACGUGCCCAGUCGUGGGGGAUAACGCAGCGAAAGCUGUGCUAAUACCGCAUACGCCCUGAGGGGGAAAGUGGGGGAUCGCAAGACCUCACGUUAUUCGAGCGGCCGACGUCUGAUUAGCUAGUUGGUGGGGUAAAGGCUCACCAAGGCGACGAUCGGUAGCGGGUCUGAGAGGAUGAUCCGUCACACUGGAACUGAGACACGGUCCAGACUCCUACGGGAGGCAGCAGUGGGGAAUUUUGGACAAUGGGGGCAACCCUGAUCCAGCCAUUCCGCGUGAGUGAAGAAGGCCUUCGGGUUGUAAAGCUCUUUCAGCCGGAACGAAACGGUACGCUCUAACAUAGCGUGCUAAUGACGGUACCGGCAGAAGAAGCACCGGCUAACUACGU
rnacentral:rRNA from 1 species